rnacentral:rRNA from 1 species
AGUGGCGGACGGGUGAGUAACGCGUAGGAAUCUGCCCCAAAGCGGGGGAUAACCUAGGGAAACUUAGGGUAAUACCGCAUAAUCUCUAAGGGGCAAAGGUCAUGGUUUACCAUGGUCGUUUUGGGAUGAGCCUGCGUUGGAUUAGUUAGUUGUUGGGGUAAUGGCCUAACAAGACUAAGAUCCAUAGCUGUUCUGAGAGGAAGAUCAGCCACACUGGGACUGAGACACGGCCCAGACUCCUACGGGAGGCAGCAGUGGGGAAUAUUGGACAAUGGGCGCAAGCCUGAUCCAGCGAUGCCGCGUGUGUGAAGAAGGCCUGAGGGUUGUAAAGCACUUUUAAGUUGGAAGAAGUUGCCUUUUAUUAGGUAAUUGACGUUACAGCUAGAAAAAGCACCGGCUAACUCUGUGCCAGCAGCCGCGGUAAUACAGAGGGUGCAAGCGUUAAUCGGAAUAAUUGGGCGUAAAGGGUGCGUAGGUGGUUACUUAUGUCUUAUGUGAAAGUCAAUGGCUCAACCAUUGAAUGCCAUAAGAAACUGGGUAACUAGAGUACUGUAGAGGGUAAUGGAAUUUCUGGUGUAGCGGUGAAAUGCGUAGAUAUCAAAAGGAACAUCAGUGGCGAAGGCGAUUACCUGGACAGAUACUGACACUGAGGCACGAAAGCGUGGGUAGCGAACAGGAUUAGAUACCCUGGUAGUCCACGCCGA